UAAGGAAUAUUGGUCAAUGCCCGGAAGGGUGAACCAGCCAUCCCGCGUGAAGGAUGAAGGGGCUCUGCCUUGUAAACUUCUUUUGAAUGGGACGAAAAAGCCUCACUUGUGAGGAACUGACGGUACCAUUAGAAUAAGCACCGGCUAACUCCGUGCCAGCAGCCGCGGUAAUACGGAGGGUGCGAGCGUUAUCCGGAAUCACUGGGUUUAAAGGGUGCGUAGGCGGCUGUAUAAGUCAGUGGUGAAAGGCUGUGGCUUAACCAUGGGAUUGCCAUUGAUACUGUACGGCUUGAAUUAGGAUGAGGUUGGCGGAAUGUGACAUGUAGCGGUGAAAUGCUUAGAUAUGUCAUGGAACAUCGAUUGCGAAGGCAGCUGACUGGACCUUAAUUGACGCUGAGGCACGAAAGCGUGGGGAGCGAACAGGAUUAGAUACCCGUGUAGUCCCUGAGCGGGCUGGCAAGGCGCAU
rnacentral:rRNA from 1 species